ACUUUAACCAGACGAUGGAAAAUAUUGCAGGAAAAUUUUUUAAUUUGCUCCCUCUCAGUCGUCAAUGGGAUUUCAUUUCGCGAUCGCUGGUUUAAUGUACGUGCGUGUGUAGAGCAAUUUAUAAAGAAUGGAAAAAUGUAAAAUUAAUUAAUUUCAAGUGUUGUGAACGUAAGAAAAUAUUUGUGCAGAAAAAAAAAAUUAAAAGUAGGAUUUCAUUAUGUAAUGGAACAAGGGCGCACCACUGAACAGUGUUGCAUGGAACAGAAAUUAAUUUCUUUAUUUUUUUUAUGAAGUUUGAGAUAAAAUGUUAUUAUGAACUUUGUGUGAGACGACAAAAAGUUGGAAUGCAUCUUAAUUAUACAGCCAACACACAAUGUUAAAAUAAUAAUUUCCAGUGAAGUUUUGUCGUGAUAACAACUCUUCAUUCUGAAAAGAAAGGAGUAAAGUUCGCCGUAACAAUAAGAUUUUUUUCGACCGAUUCAAAAAUGUGAAUCCACUCACCAUUUUCAUUUUAUGUGUCAGUGAUUCUUACGAGUGACAUGAAUGUAUAAAAUGCAAUAUUGUGGAGGCAGCCGAACGUACAUUUUAUUGUCAAGUGUAUUAUCUAGACGACCCGACGACGGACUGUAUUUACAUUUUAUGUUGCUAUAGAACUUGUAUUUUUGUUACUUGCGUGGGAAAUUUAGACUGUUUAUCAGUGAAUCACAAUUUUAAAUGCUAAAUGGUAUAAUGUGCAUCGUAUCAAUCAUAUCAGUAAUCAGUGGUUACUAAAACUUGUCAAAUUCCUAACAGAAUCAAAUUAAUGAGAUCACGUUGAUAAGAAAGAAAGAAAUCAAUCGAUACUGUAAACAGGUGUAAAAUAUGGACGAUUACCUCGACGAGCACAUCAGACAUGGCACUACCAUCAAAGUGUGUGUUGUGAAAUAACUAAAUGUAAACUUUAUCGAAGGAGAAAUGAAAAAUAAAAAUCCAUUUUUAUGAUAAGUAAAGUCAGACAUUUAACAUAUAUUCUCCUUGUGAAUUGUGGAUAAACAAAAAAAUAAAAAAGAAACAAAAACUGAAAGUGGCGGUGUUCCUAGAAAGAAACUGAGAAAAACCAGAUGAAGAAAAUAAAAUGCUACUGUUGCUAUACGUGUGGAAGUUAUACGUCUCGACUUCCUUCCUACAGUUGCUGGCGCAUAAUUUAUAAAUCCAAAGAUGGCUUCUUCAAGUUAGCAAUGUAAACAUCAACAAGUAAACUAAAAAUUGAGUUAAAAAUUAAAAGAGAAAACAAUCUGAAAACCGGUGAGCCAGUGCUUUUGCUCUAUAAAUGGAACGAAAAAGAUCGGUGAGACGACGGCAAAAGAAACCAUUUGCAGAACGAGCAAAGGAGCACUGUAGACAAUUCACAGCAUUUAUGUUCAGCAACGUUGGAAUCAUUAUAUUGGUUGUUCUUUAUAUGCUUGCCGGCGCUUCAAUGUUCAAACUCAUAGAGGAAGAAACAGCAAACGAUAAAUGGGCCGAUAUGAGUAGAAAUCGAAAUACAUUCGCAUAUCAACUGUGGAACUUAUCGAGUGUUCAGUUAAACGGCAAGGACAGAUCCACUUUCGACUACGAAUUCAAUAAAACAUUGGUCAAUUAUCAAAAACAAAUUGUCGAUGCAGUACGUGGUGGUUGGCCGGGCAACGACGAACGAGUUCAAUGGGGUCUCGAAAGGGCGUUUUUAUACUCACUUACCGUCAUAACGACAAUAGGAUAUGGAAAUAUUUGUACUCGUACAGAAAUUGGUAAAGUGGCAACAAUUGUUUAUGCGAUGAUAGGAAUGCCGUUGUUCCUGUUAUAUUUGUCAAAUAUCGGUGACAUUCUGGCUAAGUCGUUUAAAUGGAUUUAUGCUAAAGUAUUUUUGUGUCGAAUAUGCCCAGGUGUUGCUAAACGGCGUGCAUUGCGUGAACGGAGGAAAAUACGUGCUCUCGCCCAAAACAAUAUUAAUGAAAGAGACUAUCACAUUGAGGAGGCACUCGAAAAUAUCUCAACUAUUAGCAGUAUUUCUCAACGAUCUGAUGAAGACCUUGAAGAUGAUAUUGUUGAAGACAUCGAGGGCGCAACUAAUACUGUUACAGUUCCUAUUACAAUAUGUUUAAUGAUAAUGACAGGAUACAUUCUGAUGGGCUCUCUAAUUUUUUGCAUGUGGGAAGGAUGGGACUUUUUCGAUGGAUGCUACUUUUGUUUCAUAUCGCUGAGCAGCAUUGGAUUCGGCGAUAUUGUUCCAGGUAAAAAGGUUUGUGUUAAGCCAAAAUUCUGACAAGUUCGAGUGGCGGUUUAUAGUGUGCGCCAUAUAUCUUCUGCUCGGAAUGGCACUGAUAGCCAUGUGCUUUAAUUUGAUGCAGGAACAAGUUAUUUACAAAAUAAGAGCCGUUAAACGUAGCAUACGUCGAUGUUUCCGCUGCGACAGGUGAUGUGACAUCAUAAUGUAAGGCUGGCUUAAUUCCCGAAAUGAUGCCAAUCAUUUUUGCCUCAAUCCAACGAAAAAUAGCAAAAUUGUUUGUCAUUUAACGUAACACUUUAAUGGCAAUGGAAAUUAUGGGCUGCUCAAGGGCGAAACUCACUCUACGGUGACGGUGAUGGACAUUGGUGUGCCAGCAUAAUGAUGAUGGCGAUGGUGAGAAAAUAGUUACGAGAAUAGUGUAAACUAGUUGACUCAGAGCCCGUGCCGGCUUCAUCGUCUCUCAUAGGGCCGAGGGUGGGGAUUUAUGUAAAAUUGGUAGAUUUUGGAUAAAAAACAUUUGUUCAACGACUUUUGUUAUUGAUAGCUAUAGAAGAACUAGAAGAACCGGAGUAGCCCUAGUGCAUAUCUCAGUCGUCGCACAUCGUGGUCAAAAACCGAGUUGAUGUCAAUAUGAUGGUGUAUCUGAAAUCAACAAUCACAUUGAAAACAACAAUUUUUAUUGGAUGCAUGACAUGCCAAAUUUCGAGCGCGCCCAUCGUUCCAACAAAAAUUAUAUUUCUCCAUUCAAUUCAUUUCCAUUCUUUAUUGUGCUCCAGUAACGCCAAUUUUGAAUUGCUACAAUGUGUUGCUACACCGGGACCACCUUAGGACCAUUGCAGCGUUCAGCAUCAAAAGUCUUAUGUCAAAAGUCUUCCACUCAACAAAAAGUACUCAGUGAGAGAGCGAACUGUCAAGUAAACAAAGCAAAAAUCGAAAAAACUAAAUUUUGUCUCUCUACUUUUUCGGUAAGUGGAAUUUAAGCAUUAGGGCAAAAUAUAACAAUAUUACACAAGUCUUCAUCCUGACCCUGUGAUAGACGAUGAAGCCCGUCGGCUCAAUGGCACUACAGUGCUUAUAGAAACUGAAAAUUCGAGUUUGAAUUUCGAAUUUAUUCUGUUAGCAUAUAUUGUGUAGUGGCAAGGCAUCAAACAUGGUACGGCUGGAUUAAAUCACCCAGUCAUUUGCUAGUGAUAUGAAUUACAAGUAAAUGUGUAACGGAGCAUCACGCAACGUUACACAGGAACGUCUCUCUUUCGGUUAUUAAAAGCGGUACGAAGUUAAUAUACUCACCAGCACAAAAUAUAUAUAUCGUGAAAAUGUGCCAUUAGUUUCUACCUGGUUUAACGGUAUAUGGUAUGGUUAUAUACACACUAUUGGUGGCUGUUCAAUUUUACUUAACAUUACAAGUCAAGCAAUAAAUUAGUUUAAUGAA